rnacentral:lncRNA from 1 species
AGUGGGGCCUCAAGAGAGAAGGAGGGAGAGACAGAUAAAUUCAAGUGAGGAAGAAGAAGCCGUCCAUUAAUGGAGGAGAUGAUGGAUGGGGGCAUUAAUGGGGAGAGAAGAGAGGUAGGAUAAGGAAGAACUAAGUGAGGGAGGUAGAGGAGGGAGAGGGAAAGGGGAGGGGAGGAGGAGAAAGGUGGUUGCUAUGCGUAGCAGUAGCGCUGGAAGCCGAAGAGCACUACUGCUAAGCGCCAUAGUAGUAGUGCUUGUCGGUGCCCCAGCACUGCUACUAAUCAGGGCCCACCUGCUAGCACCAUACACACAUAGCGGUAGCCGUGGGCCGCCAACAUGUGCUACAACUAUGGAAUUAGUAGUAGCAUUGGUUAUCGACCAUCACUACUACUA